GAGUCUUGCUAGCAGUAGCUUCAGGGCCAGAGGCUGCUUGGGUAGGCCGCCUCCUCGCCCCGCUGAUUGGCCGCGUCGCGCGGCUUGUCACGCUCUUUUGUCUCAAUGGGCAGAGACUGAAAGCAACCGCGGCUGCCCGGAGGUCCGAACUGGAGGGUGGCCGCAGCCGUGACUUCCUUGGGAACCGCGCUGCCUCGACUCGGCUACCUCUCUGCGAAGCACUCGCUAAGCCGGGCAGCCCCGGGGUCGCUUAGCGGCCCAGGAGGCGCCAGCGAUCCUGUUCCCCUGCAGAGCUAUGGGGACCGGAAGGCGAAACAGAGCUGUCGACGCGGGAGCAUACGCUGCCCACCAGUGGAGCGCAGAGGAAUGAAAGAAAAAAUCCCUGAAGCUGAUUGCGGCUGCAGUACAUCCUUCCAACUUGGAGGAGAAAUGGUAAUAAAACAGCUUACUGCUGCCACCUGCCGUCAAGCAUGGUUCAGACAAUAACUGUCGCCCCAGAAGUUAGUGGCCAGGCUUAGCAAACUUAAACACUUUGGGAAUAGGGUAAGCAGUAGGAGUGAGUAAAAGGUGCUGGUU
ensembl:lncRNA TMSB15B-AS1 TMSB15B antisense RNA 1